rnacentral:rRNA from 1 species
GGUUGUCGUCAGCUCGUGUCGUGAGAUGUUGGUUAAGUCCCGCAACGAGCGCAACCCUCGACCUUAGUUGCCAGCAUUCAGUUGGGCACUCUAAGGUGACUGCCGGCUAAAAGUCGGAGGAAGGUGGGGAUGACGUCAAAUCAUCAUGCCCCUUAUGACCUGGGCUACACACGUGCUACAAUGGGCGGUACAAAGGGUCGCGAACCCGCGAGGGGGAGCCAAUCCCAAAAAGCCGCUCUCAGUUCGGAUUGCAGGCUGCAACUCGCCUGCAUGAAGCCGGAAUCGCUAGUAAUCGCGGAUCAGCAUGCCCGCGGUCGAAUACGUUCCCGGGCCUU